UACGUAGGGUGCGAGCGUUAAUCGGAAUUACUGGGCGUAAAGUGUACGCAGGUGGCCGCGCAAGUCGAGUGUGAAAUCCCCGAGCUUAACUUGGGAAUUGCGCUCGAAACUACGUGGCUCGAGUGUGGCAGAGGAAGGUGGAAUUCCACGUGUAGCGGUGAAAUGCGUAGAGAUGUGGAGGAACACCGAUGGCGAAGGCAGCCUUCUGGGCCAACACUGACGCUCAUGCACGAAAGCGUGGGGAGCAAACAGG
rnacentral:rRNA from 1 species